AUUGAACGCUGGCGGCAUGCCUUACACAUGCAAGUCGAACGGCAGCACGGGAGCAAUCCUGGUGGCGAGUGGCGAACGGGUGAGUAAUAUAUCGGAACGUGCCCAGUCGUGGGGGAUAACGCAGCGAACGCUAUGCUAAUACCGCAUCCGAUCUCUGGAUGAAAGCGGGGGAUCGCAACAACUCGCGCGAUUUGAGCGCCCGAUAUCAGAUGAGCUAGUUGGUGGGGUAGAGGCCCACCAAGGCGACGAUCUGUAGCUGGUCUGAGAGGACGACCAGCCACACUGGAACUGAGACACGGUCCAGACUCCUACGGGAGGCAGCAGUGGGGAAUUUUGGACAAUGGGCGCAAGCCUGAUCCAGCAAUGCCGCGUGCAGGAUGAAGGCCUUCGGGUUGUAAACUGCUUUUGUACGGAGCGAAACGGUCUGCCCUAAUACGGUGGGCUAAUGACGGUACCGUAAGAAUAAGCACCGGCUAACUACGUGCCAGCAGCCGCCGUAAGAC
rnacentral:rRNA from 1 species